GGAGGUAGUGACAAUAAAUCACAAUGCGGGACUAUACGUCUUGCAAUUGGAUUGAGAACAAUGUACAACUCUUAUCGAUAAGCCAUUGGAGGGCAAGUCUGGUGCCAGCAGCCGCGGUAAUUCCAGCUCCAAUAGCGUAUAUUAACGUUGUUGCAGUUAAAAAGCUCGUAGUUGAAGUGUGGGUGGUGCUGUCUGAAUGACUUCGGUUAGUCAGAUGAUCACUACCCCCUUCCAGUAUCCAGUAGUGGGUAUUCACUUACUUACUACUGUGUGUUGGUCCUUUACUGUGAGAAAAUUAGAGUGUUCAAAGCAGGCGUUUGCUUGAAUAGAUUAGCAUGGAAUAAUAAUUGAAGGCUUUCGUGUUCGAUUUGAUUGGUUUGUUCAUGGAAGCAAGGUUAAAAGGAACAGUUGGGGGUAUUCAUAUUCACUAGUUAGAGGUGAAAUUCUCGGAUUUAUGGAAGAUGAACAAGUGCGAAAGCA
rnacentral:rRNA from 1 species